UUAAGUUCAGCGGGUAGUCCUACCUGAUUUGAGGUCAAAUUGUUCAAUGUGUUGUUUGAAACAACGGUUAGAAGCAAAGCCUUUUAAGUGAACAAAGUGUGGCGUAGAUAAUUAUCACACCAAGAAACUUUUUUCACAAUGGUUUCCGCUAAUACUUUUAAGGGGAGCAGACUUGUUAAGAAGCCUGCAAAGCCCCCAUA
rnacentral:misc_RNA from 1 species